CGUCCGGGUUUGGAGACUCCUGCGUCCUCCGACUUUUCAUGGAAGAGAUGUCAGGAGAAAGUGUGGUGAGCUCAGCGGUGCCAGCGGCUGCUACCCGCACCACUUCCUUCAAGGGCACAAGCCCCAGCUCCAAAUACGUGAAGCUGAAUGUGGGUGGAGCCCUCUACUAUACCACCAUGCAGACACUGACCAAGCAGGACACCAUGCUGAAGGCCAUGUUCAGCGGGCGCAUGGAAGUGCUCACCGACAGUGAAGGCUGGAUCCUCAUUGACCGCUGUGGGAAGCACUUUGGUACGAUACUCAACUACCUUCGAGACGGGGCGGUGCCUUUACCCGAGAGCCGCCGGGAGAUCGAGGAGCUGCUAGCAGAAGCCAAGUACUACCUGGUCCAAGGCCUAGUGGAAGAGUGCCAGGCGGCCCUACAAGUAGGCAUCACCCUUUCUUCCCAUAUGGGUGGAGAGACACCAAGCCUACCUGCCUUCCUCAUUUUCCCUCUGCAAAAUGGGGGUGGUUUCUGUCUGACUGAGAUGUUGUGAGAGUUAAUGAGUUUGCCCUGGAGCCCUAUUCCUUCGGUCAGAGUGACCCCUGAGAGGCCUCCCUGGAACAGCAGGCCACCUAACUACUGCGUCACUCCUCGCAGCCCCAUGCUGUUGGAUCUUCUCAUGUGCACAUCUCAACCCCUCAGCAGCGAAGCCCGCGGUGUAAAACUUGGUCAGUGUUCGGGACCAAUCUU
rnacentral:sRNA from 1 species